rnacentral:lncRNA from 1 species
AGGAAUUGUACUGCUGAAUAACAAAAGAGGGGUCAAAACUUUUCACAAAUCACUCCUUCACAAGGUUUGUUAAUUUCUCCUCCUUCUCUUUGUCCUUUUCUUCUUCUUCUUCUUAUUUCUCUUCAUUUAUUUUUAUUUUUUUGUUCAUUUAGUGGAGAACUAUAAAGAUAGAUUUCUCAUUCCAAAGCAGAAUCAAACAACUUAAGGAUUCAAGGAAGCACAACAAACAAGUGAUGGGUCUGGGAAGAUUGAUGGUGACUCUGAAAUCUAAGAUAAGGUCUUUGAAGAUUUUGAAGAAGCCUGAUUAUGAUAAGGUGGAGAAGAGUGAGAGCAUGAGAAUGGAGAUUAGGAGCAGGAAGGCCAGAAAGCUCAUUGAAGAGACCCUCAAGGUGGCUGAUUCACCAAAGCCCAAAGCUUUUGCUUUCUGAUAUAUGCUUCAUUUGUACUCAGAUUAUUAUUAUUAUUAUUAGUUGCUUCAAUAUUUCUCUCAAAUUUUGUUUCAUGCACACCAUAUGUAGUUUCAAUGAGAUAAUUGUUUAUCUUUGUGCUUGAGCUCUCUGUCUCUUCUUUCCAUCAAGCUCAUCCACC